rnacentral:rRNA from 1 species
UUGAACGCUGGCGGCAGGCCUAACACAUGCAAGUCGAGCGGAUGAAGGUAGCUUGCUCCUGGAUUCAGCGGCGGACGGGUGAGUAAUGCCUAGGAAUCUGCCUGGUAGUGGGGGAUAACGUCCGGAAACGGGCGCUAAUACCGCAUACGUCCUGAGGGAGAAAGUGGGGGAUCUUCGGACCUCACGCUAUCAGAUGAGCCUAGGUCGGAUUAGCUAGUUGGUGGGGUAAAGGCCUACCAAGGCGACGAUCCGUAACUGGUCUGAGAGGAUGAUCAGUCACACUGGAACUGAGACACGGUCCAGACUCCUACGGGAGGCAGCAGUGGGGAAUAUUGGACAAUGGGCGAAAGCCUGAUCCAGCCAUGCCGCGUGUGUGAAGAAGGUCUUCGGAUUGUAAAGCACUUUAAGUUGGGAGGAAGGGCAGUAAGUUAAUACCUUGCUGUUUUGACGUUACCAACAGAAUAAGCACCGGCUAACUUCGUG